rnacentral:lncRNA from 1 species
UCCCCGUGAUCCCUGCCGCAGUACUAGCAGAUCUUCCCAUGUGCUGCCCCCGUAGCAUGAGGAGGGGCCUGGAUGGCGGGUCUAGGCCUUUUACUGGGUUGGACAGGCAUGGUAGGUGUUGGCCUGCGGAGCGGGGCUGAGGGUCAGGAACUCCCCGCUAGCUGAGGGUGGGUGUCGAAGCUCCUUUCAAUGAUCUGCGCUUUUGCCAGGACUGUUGAAUAUGUCUCGAGCUCCAUUACCAGUAAGUGCUGUCUGAUCUCCGGGCGGAGACCCCAUUGGAAUUUCCUGGCCUUUCGGCCCUCAUCCAUCAAUGUCUCCGGGGCAUGUCGGCCCAACUCCAGGAACUUACGGGCAUACUCCGACACUGUCAUGUUUCCCUGGACCAAUUGAGCAAACUCUAUUUCCUUUAGGUGUUGGAUGUGUUUAGGGAGAUACUCCGCGUGGAAGGCCGCUAAGAACUGCUCCCAAGUAGCUGGUGUAGGCAGGGUGGUCCGCUUGAGCUCCCACUAGCGUACUGCUUCCCCUACCAGCAUGUAGGAGGCAAUGGCAGCCCUCUGCUCAGGAACUACUUCCAAGGUCUCGAAAGCUCUCUCAGUCUCUGCCAGCCAGUAUUGGGCCUCUUCAAAAGAGGAUCCCGCUGCAAAAGUAGAAGGGUUCAGUCUUCUGUACCUCUCUAUGAAGCUGGGGUCGAUCAAGGAAUGAGCGGGGUCCCGAGGUAGAGGGACUGGGGCCGGCUGAGGGUGAACUGGGGGACCCUGUGGUGGCACCUGCUGAUGUGGUGGGGGUACUGGAAUGUGCUGUGGCGGCGCCUGGUGGUACCGUGGCUGUGGUACCGGGUCGUACUGCGGCUGUGGUGCCGGGUGGUACUGUGGAGGAGCAGGCUCCUGCCGGGGUGGCUCGGGAUCAGCCUGCUGUAGCGGGGGCUCAACCUGCGAUAACGGAGGAGGUCCGGGUAACUCCCUUCUCUCCUCUCGCCUUUGCUAGGCAGCUACGAGAGCUUCCACCAUCUCAAAUAGUCUGUCUAAAUCCUCUCGAAGCGAAUUAUCUUAGGCCGCUCGGUUUAGUGGGGGCCUUCCUCUCCUCAUUUUCGUGUACCUGCAUUCACAAGGAAUGGUUGAGUAACGAUAUAUCGGUGAUUAUUUAUCUAAGGCGCUAUUGUGUAAGGGAUGGGUCCAAGGAAAUGCGGCUCUGAUACAAAUUGAAACGACCCGGAAAUUUAAAAUGAAAUAUGUGUAUUAAAAAUGUCAAAUGCGGAAGCGAAGUCAAAAUUUCGAUUAACAUCCCUUACACCAAAACCAAAAACGUGCUCAAAAUAUAAAAGAUCAAACUAACUAAAGAAGAAAUUCGAAAGUAAAAGCUAUGAAUAUGACUAUGGAGUCUUUAGGCGUCCCCUUCGUCGUCUUC